rnacentral:ncRNA from 1 species
UGACCUCAAAUCAGGUAGGAUUACCCGCUGAACUUAAGCAUAUCAAUAAGCGGAGGAAAAGAAACCAACUGGGAUUACCUUAGUAACGGCGAGUGAAGCGGUAAAAGCUCAAAUUUGAAAUCUGGUACUUUCAGUGCCCGAGUUGUAAUUUGUAGAAUUUGUCUUUGAUUAGGUCCUUGUCUAUGUUCCUUGGAACAGGACGUCAUAGAGGGUGAGAAUCCCGUUUGGCGAGGAUACCUUUUCUCUGUAAGACUUUUUCGAAGAGUCGAGUUGUUUGGGAAUGCAGCUCAAAGUGGGUGGUAAAUUCCAUCUAAAGCUAAAUAUUGGCGAGAGACCGAUAGCGAACAAGUACAGUGAUGGAAAGAUGAA